GACGAACGCUGGCGGCGUGCUUAACACAUGCAAGUCGAACGGAAAGGCCCUGCUUGCAGGGUACUCGAGUGGCGAACGGGUGAGUAACACGUGGGUGAUCUGCCCUGCACUUCGGGAUAAGCCUGGGAAACUGGGUCUAAUACCGGAUAGGAGCCAUUUUUAGUGUGAUGGUUGGAAAGUUUUUUCGGUGUAGGAUGAGCUCGCGGCCUAUCAGCUUGUUGGUGGGGUAAUGGCCUACCAAGGCGGCGACGGGUAGCCGGCCUGAGAGGGUGGACGGCCAAAUUGGGGCUGAGAUACGGCCCAGACUCCUACGGGGGGCAGCAGUGGGGAAUAUUGCAAAAUGGGCGCAAGCCUGAUGCAGCGACGCCGCGUGGGGGAUGACGGGCUUCGGGUUGUAAACUCCUUUCGCUAGGGACGAAGCUUUUUGUGACGGUACCUAGAUAAGAAGCACCGGCUAACUACGUG
rnacentral:rRNA from 1 species